UCCGGUUUGGCACCGGCAGUCCCCCUAGAGUGCCCGGCUUUACCCGCUGGUAACUAGGGGCGGGGGUUGCGCUCGUUGCGGGACUUAACCCAACAUCUCACGACACGAGCUGACGACAGCCAUGCAGCACCUGUCCGCGGGUCCCGAAGGAGGGCCCGUGUUUCCACAGGCUUUCCCGCAGAUGUCAAGCCCAGGUAAGGUUCUUCGCGUUGCGUCGAAUUAAACCACAUGCUCCACCGCUUGUGCGGGCCCCCGUCAAUUCCUUUGAGUUUCAGCCUUGCGGCCGUACUCCCCAGGCGGGGCACUUAAUGCGUUAGCGCCGGCACUCGGGGGGUCGCUCCCCCAAGCACCUAGUGCCCAUCGUUUACGGCGUGGACUAC
rnacentral:misc_RNA from 1 species